GCUGACUCUGCUCUCACAAGGACAGCAGCAUCCUGAGGAGAAGGAUGAGUGACACUGCCCUCCCUGACUCUGCCUGGGGCCCCACCCUGCUCUGCUGUGUCACUGUCUUUCUCCUGGGGACAGGUUCAGCAAAUCCCGGGGUCAUCCAGUCUCCAAGACAUCUAAUCAAAGCCAAGGGAGGAAGGUCCACUCUGAAAUGCAUUCCCAUCUCUGGACAUGACAGAGUGGCCUGGUACCAGCAGACUCUGGGGCAAGAACUGAAGUUCCUCAUUCAGCAUUAUGAAAAAAUGGAGAGAGAGAAAGGAAACAUCCCCAGCCGGUUCUCAGUGCAGCAGCUCAGUGACUAUCACUCUGAGAUGAACAUGAGCGCCUUGCAGCUGGAGGAUUCUGCUGUGUAUUUCUGUGCUAGCUCAUCACAGCCUUACAGAGUGACUGGCUUUCUGUCUCCAAUCUUCCUGCUCCUACUGACGUUGUACUGUAGAGGUGUCUUCAGAAAACACACAGCCGUAGCUAAGGCCUAGAAAUACUUAUAGAUUUGUACCUAUCCCCUGAGUGCCUAUCUGAGAUCACACGGAGAUUUCUAACACUGGGUCCGGCCCCAAGACUCUUAUCUCUGCUAGCACCUUUCAGCUCUCAGUCAGUUUUAGAAAAGGCUACUCUGUGUUCGGGUGUGGCCAUAGGCAAAAUAUUUUAAGACAAGGAUAGACAUUAACAUAUCUAUUUUUAAGAUUAAGAUGUCUUUACAUCACUUCAAUAGGAAUCAGUAGCUUAUUAAAUUUCCUAACAUUUCAUGUUUAAGGAUAUUAACAUAAGGAAUGAAACCUACAUUUCUUUGCCUCUAAGUCAAUGUUCUGAAUUUCUUUGGUGUUUCCCAGUUUUGGUCCAAAAAAUAUAGCAGCUCACUUUCUCUUGUGUUAUAAAGACUAGCUGAGGUUAGUUUGUACAUGUAUGUGGUGCUAACAGGUUAUAGAUGUAUAAUACUAAGUCAGAUAAUGUUUGUAUUUUAUAGUUUCAAGAUGGGGUUAAUUUUCAACAAAAAUUUUGUUAAUCAAUAAUCAAGCUCUGGAGACGGCUUCCCCCCUCAGACAGCUGUGUACUUCUGUGCCAGCAGUGAAACAUGGCAAUGUGUGGCUGCCUCCCAUCUGCAUAUAAAAUAAAUUAGGAAAUCCA